UACGUAGGGUGCAAGCGUUGUCCGGAACUAUUGGGCGUAAAGAGCUCGUAGGCGGUUUAUUGCGUCGGCUGUGAAAUCCCGAGGCUCAACCUCGGGUCUGCAGUCGAUACGAGCAAACUAGAGUGUUGCAGGGGAGACUGGAAUUCCUGGUGUAGCGGUGAAAUGCGCAGAUAUCAGGAGGAACACCGGUGGCGAAGGCGGGUCUCUGGGCAACAACUGACGCUGAGGAGCGAAAGCGUGGGGAGCGAACAGG
rnacentral:rRNA from 1 species